UACGUAGGUCCCGAGCGUUAUCCGGAUUUAUUGGGCGUAAAGCGUGCGCAGGCGGUUAGAUAAGUCUGAAGUGAAAGGCAGUGGCUUAACCAUAGUCUGCUUUGGAAACUGUUUAACUUGAGUGCAGAAGGGGAGAGUGGGAUUCCAUGUGUAGCGGUGAAAUGCGUAGAUAUAUGGAGGAACACCGGUGGCGAAAGCGGCUCUCUGGGCUGUAACUGACGCUGAGGCUCGAAAGCGUGGGGAGCAAACAGG
rnacentral:rRNA from 1 species